GGCAAAGGACACUGUGGUUAGGACAAAACGGCAACCAACAGAUUGGGAAAAGAGCUUUACCAAUCCUACAACAGAUAGAGGCCUUAUAUCCUAAAUAUACAAAGAACUCAAGAAGUUAGACCGCAGGGAGACAAAUAACCCUAUUAAAAAAUGGGGUUCAGAACUAAACAAAGAAUUCACAGCUGAGGAAUGCCGAAUGGCUGAGAAACACCUAAAGAAAUGUUCAACAUCUUUAGUCAUAAGGGAAAUGCAAAUCAAAACAACCCUGAGAUUUCACCUCACACCAGUGAGAAUGGCUAAGAUCAAAAACUCAGGUGACAGCAGAUGCUGGCGAGGAUGCAGAGAAAGAGGAACACUCCUCCAUUGUUGGUGGGAUUGCAGAGUGAUACAACCAUUCUGGAAAUCAGUCUGGAGGUUCCUCAGAAAAUUGGACAUUGAACUGCCUGAGGAUCCAGCUAUACCUCUCUUGGGCAUAUACCCAAGAGAUGCCCCAACAUAUAAAAAAGACACGUGCUCCACUAUGUUCAUCGCAGCCUUAUUUAUAAUAGCCAGAAGCUGGAAAGAACCCAGAUGCCCUUCAACAGAGGAAUGGAUACAGAAAAUGUGGUACAUCUACACAAUGGAAUAUUACUCAGCUAUCAAAAACAAUGACUUUAUGAAAUUCGUAGGCAAAUGAUUGGAACUGGAAAAUAUCAUCCUGAGUGAG
rnacentral:lncRNA from 1 species